AUUGAACGCUGGCGGCAGGCCUAACACAUGCAAGUCGAGCGCGCGGCGGACGGGUGAGUAAUGUAUGUGGAUCUCUCCGUUAUAGGGGGAUAAAUCCUGGAAACGGUAGCUAAUACCGCAUACUAUCUGAUGUACCCAUAUGGGAUGAGCUCGUAGGUGGGGUAAUGGCUCACCUAGGCGACGAUCCCUAGCUGGUCUGAGAGGAUGAUCAGCCACACUGGGACUGAGACACGGCCCAGACUCCUACGGGAGGCAGCAGUGGGGAAUUUUGGACAAUGGGGGAAACCCUGAUCCAGCCAUCCCGCGUGUAUGAUGAAGGCCUUCGGGUUGUAAAGUACUUUUGGCAGAGAAGCGGUAUCUGCAGAAGAAGCACCGGCUAACUACGUGCCAGCAGCCGCGGUAAUAC
rnacentral:rRNA from 1 species